AGUGAACGCUGGCGGUAGGCCUAACACAUGCAAGUCGAACGGCAGCACAGUAAGAGCUUGCUCUUACGGGUGGCGAGUGGCGGACGGGUGAGGAAUACAUCGGAAUCUACUUUUUCGUGGGGGAUAACGUAGGGAAACUUACGCUAAUACCGCAUACGACCUACGGGUGAAAGCAGGGGAUCUUCGGACCUUGCGCGAUUGAAUGAGCCGAUGUUGGAUUAGCUAGUUGGCGGGGUAAAGGCCCACCAAGGCGACGAUCCGUAGCUGGUCUGAGAGGAUGAUCAGCCACACUGGAACUGAGACACGGUCCAGACUCCUACGGGAGGCAGCAGUGGGGAAUAUUGGACAAUGGGCGCAAGCCUGAUCCAGCCAUACCGCGUGGGUGAAGAAGGCCUUCGGGUUGUAAAGCCCUUUUGUUGGGAAAGAAAAGCGGCAGGUUAAUACCCCGCUGUUCUGACGGUACCCAAAGAAUAAGCACCGGCUAACUUCGUG
rnacentral:rRNA from 1 species